GUCUUUAAGAGGCGAUGCUAGGGGCGCCCGGGGGCUCAGCGGGUGGGCGCCUGCCUCGGCCCAGGGCGUGGCCCCGCGUCCCGGGAUCGAGCCCCGCGUCGGGCCCCGCAGGAGCCAGCCUCUCCCCCGCCUGUGUCCCCGCCUCUCUGUGCGUCUCUCAUGAAUCAAUUUUAAAAAUCCUGGAAAAACGAGCCGUUCGGUCGAGGUAAGCGCGAGGGCCUACGGGGACGCAGACAGGCGACAGCGGGCUCAGGGCGCUGCGGGCAGCUCCGCAGGGGCCGACGCACGGACGCCGCGAGCAGGGCAGCCAGCGGGGCGGACGGCGGGGGGGCUGCGUGGACCCGUCAGGACAGAACCCUAGCGCGGAGGGGGCUCCCGGAGCGGGGCUGGGGCAGCGGGAAUGGGGUGCGGGACGCCGGACAGGACCUGGGGGCCUCCCCUCCCCCACGGCUCCUGCCACCCGCUGGGACCAGGCUUGCUCCGGGAAGCCUCGCUGUGGGGCGGCCGCCCCCUGCACCUGCACCUGCACCUGCACGCCGACGCCCUCACCUCCCGGGGCCCCUGCCUGCACCUGCUCCCCCCCCCCGGGGUCCUUCACAAGGGCCGUGUCUUGGACACACGUGUGUCUCCAGCACCCGGCAGCAUCCUGGCACGUGGGGAAUGCUCCGCAAAGAGUGUUGGACACACGAGGGGGGAAACAAAGGGCGGGCGCCUGGGGCGAUGCCAAUGCCCCGUCUCUUCCCUCGGGAACAGAAGGCAGAGGACAGAGGCUGCGCAGACGCCGCCCGGGGAGAUCAUUCUACGGGUUUGGGGCGCACGGGGGCUGGGAAACCCCUGGGCCGCUGCGCUCCCAUCAACCAUAAGUGGGGGCACAGCCCAGGCAGGCAGUAGCUGGACCCGAGGAGCAGGAGGGGAGGGGUUCCCGCCGCCCCCCCCAGCACCUGGAUCUGCUCGAAGGGGAUCUCGAAGCUGAAGGACUCGUUGAAGUAGGGGUUCAGGGUCUUCUUCUUGACCGUCGUCUUCUUCUUCUUGAGCCUCUUGCCGUUCUGCAUCAGGUGGAUCUUCACGUAGGGGUCUGCGGAGAAGCCCCGCCCCAGAGCCUCCUUAGCCUGCGCCCCCACCUCCCCCACCUCCCUCUGCACCCCCCCCCCCCCCAGCAGAAGCAGAGGCAGCAGGAAGAUUCCAGCUGGAGGACCAGUUCGGGCUGCGGGUGCAGGGGAGGCUGCCUGGGGCUCAGGCUCUAGCAGUGACCCUGCGCCGCCGUCCCAGGUGGGGGGCAGAGGGGGCUCACACACGCGGCCAUGCCCCCACCCACCUCCCCACCUCGCGGGUGAGAAACUGAGGCCUGCAGAAGGUCGGGGAGUGAGCGGCGCUGAGCGAGUGGGGUGUGUGUGUGCGAUGGAGCAGGGUGGGUGUGAGUGAGGGGGGGUGACAAGCCGGGGUGACCUGGCCGGGCUGGCCGCAGGACUGCCAGGGGAGCCCCCACCCCAGCCUGAUGCCCAGGAAGGCGGCGUUCCCCCCUCCCCGCCCCCCCGCGGGCAGGGCCUGUGCAGGACAAGUGUCCCCAGCUCUGGGCAGCUCCCAGGGGCGGGCCUGGGGCCCAGGACAGCGGCCACCUGGUGGGAAGCGAGGCCCAGCGCCUGGCUCGCCGGUGCCAUCCCAUGGCAGCCGCCAGGCCUGCAGGUACCUGACAGGCCCCCCACGUCCAUCUUCUUCAGGUUCUUGGCCUCCAGGAUACAGACAGUGAGCUUCCCGGCCGUGGGCACGUAGCGCAGGGAGGUGCAGAUGUCGCCCAGCUUCUCUGGCUGUGCCGGAAGAGCAGCAUCCCGGUCAUCCGGGCCCCCCACCCCAUGACCGCACCCCGGGGAUGGCUCCCGCUCCCCGGCAGAGCAGUCGUCCCGGUACUCUGUCCCUCUCCUUGGGUUACUGUCAUGGUGACGCCCUCCCGUGGAUGGGUCAGGGCUCCUGGUGACCCCGAGACCUCCACAACGUCCCACAGCAAGGGCACCAGGGGCAGGAUGGGAACCCAGGGCUCCUGCUCCUAGGAGCUCUGCCAACAUCAUGCCCGGGUGAGCCUCUCGGGGAUGGGGCCCACCUGCCCGGUCCCUGCUCAGGGGCACAGGCCCGGCUUCCUCAGGGUGAGCGCCCGGUCAGCAAGGGGGUCCUGGGCGUCCCUCCCCCCCCAGCCUGGUACGCUGCUGGCCUCGCGACCGGGACUUGGCCAGACGAAGGACCGAUGCUGGAGGAGCAGGGGCUCCAGGGAGCAUGUGGCAUAUGGCAGGUGCUCAGCCCGUGCCUGGUAAGCCGUGGAUGCUGUAGCAGCUGCUGGGAGGACAAGCCCCCGUGCCGAGACACCUUUAAAAUAAAUAUGGGCUUGCCCUGUGGGUAAACUGAGGCACGAAGUGACAAGUCAGGGGCCCUCAGGGACAGCAGAACCGCAGCAGCACGACGGUGACACUGCUCCCCUAACGGGGGAGCCUCCUCAACGCCAGAGGCUAGGCCAGACUGCGGGGGGCCCGGGCCCAGGGGGUCAGCCAGGUGCCCGGGGUCACACAGCGCAGCCGCGUCCCACCCGCCCGCAGCCCCUCGGCGCUUGCCGCUCUCACCUCCUCCUUCUCGCCGCCCUGCAGGUCCCUCCACUCCUCGAUGGGCUGGCCCAGGUCCACGGUGUUCAUGGGCACCUUCACCUCGCCGAUGAUGUCGUGUUUGGAGAAGCGGUCGAAGUCAUAGAUGGCCAUCACCAGGGUUUUGCCCCCCAGCUCCUGGAGGAAGACUUUGACGUAAGGGUCUGAGGUGCCCCCCAUGUCCAGGGCUGGCAAUUCAGCAGCUUGCAGGACGCCGACGGUGAGCUGCGGGGAGAGAGGACCGGGCCUGAGCCCCCCAUCACCCCCCUCACCCCCCCGGGGACACCAGCCCCCCAGUGGGGACAGGCCGCUGCGACCCAGGAACACCGGUCCCGUCCCUACCCCUGGAUCCAGGUGACGUCAGGGAAGCGGGUUUGCCCAAGGUCGGCGGGGUGUUGACAGCGGGGGCCCUGAACUGCGGACCCCUCUAAAGCGAUGAUGCCGGGGGCUCAUGGGGGCACCCGGGGGCGCACGCCUUUGGUCUCCAGCCCCGCCCACCCCAUGGAAGGGGGCGGCCUGGCCUGUGGGCGUGCCUGCUUCUCGCGCUCCCCCCCCACACACCCCCAGCCUGGCCGCCCUACCUGGUUGGCCUGGAAAUCAUAAUCCAGGGAGAACUGCAGCUUGCCCAGGUUCUCCGGCUCCUUCUCCUCCUCUCCCUCGCCCUCUCCCUCCGUCAGGCCCGUCUCGGCAUCAUCGUCAUCCUGGGGGGACUGGGCCGGACAAGGGGCGCUCAGGGGACAGGACGGGGCCUGCCUGGGGGCCCCAAUCCGCGGCCCUCGGCCCCCCGGCCGCGGCUUGCACGCGCCCUACUUCCCAGCUCAGGGGCCGCCCUGGGACACUUACCCGGAGCACCGUCGGCGCAUCCCAGAGCACGGAGAGCCCACGGGGGUGAGAGAAGGAAAGUGACGUAAGAGAAAGUCCUGCGGCCGCACCGGCUGCCACCAGCAGCACUUCUUGCAGAUGCAGAAGCAGCAGGUGAGAAGCAGGAGGCCGGCGACCACGGCAAUGGCGAUCAGCGCCCAGGGCGGUACUGGCCAUGGAGGAGCCGGGUCAGCAGGGCUCAGCCCGCCCCCCGCCCCGCUGCACGCGGCCACGGCCACGGCGCUGCACGUGAGCCACGUCUGCUUCCCGGAGCCUGCUCAGCCCUGCCCUCCGCGCCCACGGGCCGUGGACAGAGACCCCGACCGAGGCGCAGGAGCUCCGGGGCCACCCCGAGCCGGCGGCCCAGGGCCCUGGCCGCGCCCCACACCCCACGCCAGCACCUCCCACGGGGGGGGGCCCACCCGCGACCUCCGCCGGCACCCGAGCAGCCCCUGCCAGGACCUGGGAAGGUGAUGGUGGGGGGAGCUUCUGUUUCCCAAACUAAGGUAACACGACGGGAGAUCUUCAGCAGGGCCGUGUCACGCGGGUUCCCACCCUCCUCCGGUUUCAAGCGCCGGGUGUCCGGGUGCUGGCAGCGGCCCUUCCCCCCCGGGAGGCUGGGGCGCCCACCCUCCCCAGGGACGCGCAGCAGGCCCGGCCCGGGGCACCCCCGCGGGCACUCACAGGGGAUGCUCUGGAUCUUGUAGAAGAACUUGUCCUGUAUGUAGGUGAACAUGUCAUCCUGACUCGGCCUGGCGCCCCCGCUCUCCGUCGAGUUGUCUAAGAGCCCGGUGGACACUGUGGCCGUGGUGGUGGCGGGAGCCACGAUGGGCUCCUGGUUCCUCUUGAAGAUGUUCCUCAUGGUGGCGGAGGCGACGGCUGCGGGCGGCAGGGGUGGGAACAGGUGAGCGGCCGCAGCCCGAGUACACACAGCUCCGCCCAAGGACUGGAAGCCUCUCUCGGGAGCUAAAGGCCUAGGGAUGCCCGCGGGGUCAGUGGUCGGGCACCGCCUCCGGCCCAGGUCGUGACCCCGGGGUCCCAGGAUCGAGUCCCGUGUCGGGCUCCCACAGGAGCCUGCUUCUCCCUCUGCCUGUGUCUCUGUCUCUCUGUGUGUCUCUCAUGAAUAAAAAAAAAUUUAA